GCGCAUUAUAAUUCUUGUCUAAAAACCUGGCCAAAAUUUUUAAUCUAAAUGCAUACAUCUUUGAUUCAAUAUCGGGUAACUGUAAACCUCCAUUACACUUUUGAUCAAUGAUGGUGUUAUAUUUUACCAAGUGUGCACCAUUAUUCCACACAAAACUAACACAUGCAGUUUUAAUAUCUCGUAAAACAUAAUCUGGCAUCGAUGUUACAAA
rnacentral:lncRNA from 1 species